GACGAACGCUGGCGGCGUGCCUAAUACAUGCAAGUUGAGCGCUGAAGGUUGGUACUUGUACCAACUGGAUGAGCAGCGAACGGGUGAGUAACGCGUGGGGAAUCUGCCUUUGAGCGGGGGACAACAUUUGGAAACGAAUGCUAAUACCGCAUAAAAACUUUAAACACAAGUUUUAAGUUUGAAAGAUGCAAUUGCAUCACUCAAAGAUGAUCCCGGGUUGUAUUAGCUAGUUGGUGAGGUAAAGGCUCACCAAGGCGAUGAUACAUAGGCGACCUGAGAGGGUGAUCAGCCACAUUGGGACUGGGACACGGCCCAAACUCCUGCGGGAGGCAGCAGUAGGGAAUCUUCGGGAAUGGGCGGAAGUCUGACCGAGCAACGCCGCGUGAGUGAAGAAGGUUUUCGGAUCGUAAAACUCUGUUGGUAGAGAAGAACGUUGGUGAGAGUGGAAAGCUCAUCAAGUGACGGUAACUACCCAGAAAGCGACGGCUAACUACGUG
rnacentral:rRNA from 1 species